rnacentral:rRNA from 1 species
GACGAACGCUGGCGGCGUGCUUACACAUGCAAGUCGAACGGAAAGGCCCUGCUUUUGUGGGGUGCUCGAGUGGCGAACGGGUGAGUAACACGUGAGUAACCUGCCCUUGACUUUGGGAUAACUUCAGGAAACUGGGGCUAAUACCGGAUAGGAGCUCCUGCUGCAUGGUGGGGGUUGGAAAGUUUCGGCGGUUGGGGAUGGACUCGCGGCUUAUCAGCUUGUUGGUGGGGUAGUGGCUUACCAAGGCUUUGACGGGUAGCCGGCCUGAGAGGGUGACCGGCCACAUUGGGACUGAGAUACGGCCCAGACCCCUACGGGAGGCAGCAGUGGGGAAUAUUGCACAAUGGGCGGAAGCCUGAUGCAGCAACGCCGCGUGCGGGAUGACGGCCUUCGGGUUGUAAACCGCUUUCGCCUGUGACGAAGCGUGAGUGACGGUAAUGGGUAAAGAAGCACCGGCUAACUACGUGCCAGCAGCCGCGGUGAUACGUAGGGUGCGAGCGUUGUCCGGAUUUAUUGGGCGUAAAGGGCUCGUAGGUGGUUGAUCGCGUCGGAAGUGUAAUCUUGGGGCUUAACCCUGAGCGUGCUUUCGAUACGGGUUGACUUGAGGAAGGUAGGGGAGAAUGGAAUUCCUGGUGGAGCGGUGGAAUGCGCAGAUAUCAGGAGGAACACCAGUGGCGAAGGCGGUUCUCUGGGCCUUUCCUGACGCUGAGGAGCGAAAGCGUGGGGAGCGAACAGGCUUAGAUACCCUGGUAGUCCACGCUGUAAACGGUGGGUACUAGGUGUGGGGUCCAUUCCACGGGUUCCGUGCCGUAGCUAACGCUUUAAGUACCCCGCCUGGGGAGUACGGCCGCAAGGCUAAAACUCAAAGGAAUUGACGGGGCCCCGCACAAGCGGCGGAGCAUGCGGAUUAAUUCGAUGCAACGCGUAGAACCUUACCUGGGUUUGACAUGGAUCGGGAGUGCUCAGAGAUGGGUGUGCCUCUUUUGGGGUCGGUUCACAGGUGGUGCAUGCCUGUCGUCAGCUCGUGUCGUGAGAUGUUGGGUUAAGUCCCGCAACGAGCGCAACCCUUGUUCACUGUUGCCAGCACGUUAUGGUGGGGACUCAGUGGAGACCGCCGGGGUCAACUCGGAGGAAGGUGGGGAUGACGUCAAGUCAUCAUGCCCCUUAUGUCCAGGGCUUCACGCAUGCUACAAUGGCUGGUACAGAGAGUGGCGAGCCUGUGAGGGUGAGCGAAUCUCGGAAAGCCGGUCUCAGUUCGGAUUGGGGUCUGCAACUCGACCUCAUGAAGUCGGAGUCGCUAGUAAUCGCAGAUCAGCAACGCUGCGGUGAAUACGUUCCCGGGGCU